rnacentral:rRNA from 1 species
ACGGAAGGUCCGGGCGUUAUCCGGAUUUAUUGGGUUUAAAGGGAGCGCAGGCCGUCCUUUAAGCGUGCUGUGAAAUGCCGCGGCUCAACCGUGGCACUGCAGCGCGAACUGGAGGACUUGAGUACGCACGAGGUAGGCGGAAUUCGUGGUGUAGCGGUGAAAUGCUUAGAUAUCACGAAGAACUCCGAUUGCGAAGGCAGCUUACCGGAGCGCAACUGACGCUGAGGCUCGAAAGCGCGGGUAUCGAACAG